UAGAAGAAGAAAUGACUGUAAAUACAAUUCAAUAUUGCUUGAUACUGUGGCUAAUGGUUUGGCUGGAUAGUCUGGAACCAAGGAAUAUAAUUGGAAAACUGAAAAAAAAAUAGUGACAUGGAAAUUUGGCAAGAGGUAAGAUGGCAGACAGGAAGCAGGACUAGCUUGCAGCUACAGCUCAGAUGGAUAGAGCAGCAUGUGAAGACUCACAUCAUGAACUUUUGCACCAGUAACUACUGCAGGAACAUACCA
rnacentral:lncRNA from 10 species